rnacentral:lncRNA from 1 species
GUUCUCAAAGACUGAGUUCAAGGAGCUCUACGUUUCAAAGUCAAGCUGGAGCUGGAGGUCUGGGAAGGUCCACAGCUGUGCUCUGAAAGAACCUUGUCUGAGAUGGGCUCAGAAU